UACGUAGGGGGCAAGCGUUGUCCGGAAUCAUUGGGCGUAAAGAGCGUGUAGGCGGCCCGGUAAGUCCGCUGUGAAAGUCGGGGCUCAACCCUCGAAUGCCGGUGGAUACUGUCGGGCUAGAGUGCGGAAGAGGCGAGUGGAAUUCCUGGUGUAGCGGUGAAAUGCGCAGAUAUCAGGAGGAACACCGGUGGCGAAGGCGGUCUCUGGCCGAUACUGACGCUGAGGAGCGAAAGCGUGGGAGCGAACAGG
rnacentral:rRNA from 1 species